rnacentral:rRNA from 1 species
GGGUCAGUAGGUCGGUCGUGCCUCGGUACGUACUGGCGUCAUUGAUUUCUCCCUUCUGACGAACCAUGAUGUCAUUAAUUUGGUGUUAUGGGAAAUCAGGACUGUUACUUUGAAAAAAUUAGAGUGUUUAAAGCAGGCUCACGCUUGAAUACAUUAGCAUGGAAUAAUGAAAUAGGACGUUCGAUCCUAUUUUGUUGGUUUCUAGGAUUGACGUA